rnacentral:tRNA from 1 species
GCUCACUUAGCUCAAUGGCAGAGCAACCGGCUGUUAACCGGUAGGUUGUAGGUUCGAGCCCUACAGUGAGCGCCA